GGCCCUGAUGGUCGGGGACGGUCAGGACACCUGAGGGACGGCGGCAGUCCCCCGCCUGGCGGUGGACUGGUCACCUGACUCCCUCGCGAGAGACUUCCUCCAGACGCGGCUCACGCACUACCGAUUCCAGUUAAAACAGGAAACAGACGCUUCUAUUAAUCAGGACUCUUGAGAAGCAGCGCCCCCCCAGCGCCCAGGUGUGUCAGGUAUCAGCAGGCAGGUGUGUCCAGGUGUGUCCAGGUGUGUCCAGGUGUGUCCAGGUGUGACAGGUGUGUCCAGGUGUGUCCAGGUGUGUCCAGGUGUGUCAGGUGUGUCCAGGUGUGUCCAGGUGUGUCCAGGUGUG